rnacentral:sRNA from 1 species
CUAUUGCACGUGUCGUAUAGGUGAGAACCUGCGCUCAGGUUUGAGCCGAGCGAAGCGAGACAGCAACGCGCUAGCGUUGACCCCGAAGGGGCGAGGCCAAAGGCCGAGUCAUCCUGCACGACCCACCA